UCUUGGACAAUGGGCGAAAGCCUGAUCCAGCCAUGCCGCGUGAGUGAUGAAGGCCUUAGGGUUGUAAAGCUCUUUCGCCAGGGAAGAUAAUGACGGUACCUGGAUAAGAAGCCCCGGCUAACUUCGUGCCAGCAGCCGCGGUAAUACGGGGGGUGCAAGCGUUGUUCGGAAUUAUUGGGCGUAAAGCGCGCGCAGGCGGCUUGGGAAGUCCAUGGGUGAAAGGCCGGAGCUCAACUCCGCGUAGGCCCAGGAUACUCUCAGGCUGGAGACACGUAGAGGCAAGCGGAAUUCCGGGUGUAGCGGUGGAAUGCGUAGAUAUCCGGAAGAACACCGGAGGCGAAGGCGGCUUGCUGGGCGUGAUCUGACGCUGAGGCGCGAAAGCGUGGGGAGCAA
rnacentral:rRNA from 1 species